AUUUCAGGAAUUGGAGAUGCCCCUGUGGCUGAGGAGGAGCUGGGGCUGGGGCCGGGGCCAGGGCCGGGGCUCUGACCUGCCACUCUGCCCCACAUUAAGGGCAGAGACCGAAGAGGUGGCUGCCUGGACCUUGGAGCCCCAGGGUGGGCGGCCACCUUGGCCAGGACUCGGGCGCCCCCUUACAGAAGGCUGUGCUCACCCCUUCUUUUCUCGCCCCUGCUCUGUGCUGCAUUUGGAAAGAACCUAAAUGUCCUCCCUCUGAAGACUGGUUAAACAUCUGGUUAUGAUCCAGUGCUGCUCAUCUGACACCUGAGGGCCGCUGGAGACCCAGGGACACUCCUGCUGCGGCUCAUGUUUGGAAGCUGUCCGGAGGCGGGACUUCCUCUUCCUCCAGGGGCCGCCGUCCGGAGGCGGGACUUCCUCUUCCUCGGGGACAACUGUCUUUUUCUCUUAAGGCCUUGGACUGCCUGGAUGAGGCUAUAAUAUGGUCAGUACUCUGCUCUACCCAAAGUCUCCUGAUUGAAAUAUUAACCUCAUCCAAGAAACACCCUCACAGCGACGUCUACACUGGUGUUUGACCAAAUAGCUGGGGACCGUGGCCUGGUCGAGCUGACACAAAAGUAACCAUCACAGCUGCUGCUAUGGUCUGAAUGUUGAUGUCACCCCCAGAUUCAUUUGUUAGAACUUAAGCCCCAAGGCGAUGGCAUCACUGGUGGGCUUUGGGAGAUGAGGAGGAUAUGAAUGGGACCAGUAGCCUCAUAAGAGUUUUGAGGGUCCUGGUUGCCCUUCCCCACCCUCCCGUCCCUGCCACUGGGUGAGGACACAGCAAGAAGCCGCCGUCCUGGGAGCAGAGAGCAGAAAGCAGCCCUCACCAGACGCUGAAUCUGCUGGGGCCUCGGUCCUGGACGUCCCAGCCUCCAGAACUGAGCGAUGAAAUUCUGGUUACAAAUUGCCCCCUCUGAGGUAUUUUGUUUUAGCAGAAGGAACAGACGAGGAUGACCACCGAGGCCCUUCUCAGGCUGCCGCGGGUCUCCAGGAUGGGGACAGUCAGCUGGGGCCAACCGAGCUGCAUGUGGUCAAGGGCCCAUGCAUGUGACCAGGGCCCGCCUCCCACGUCACCCAGUGCACCCUCAGCAUGGGACACGGACCUAGACACUGCCGGGGUCUCCGUCCUUGCAGGCACUGCCAGGCGCCCCUCCCUGGGAGAAGCUGCAGCUCUGAGGCUACGGUCUUGCAGGUCAGCCACCACCUGGCUUUGUGGUCUGUUAUGCCCGGCCUAGUGUCCAGGGUGGUGACAUUUAUUUGAACAAAGACCAGUCUCCACCACCAAAGUCAUGGCUCUGCUGUUGCUUCCAGAACCAAAGAAAGGCUGGCUUCUGGGCUGGGCGUGGUGAUUCACGCCUGUAAUCCCAGCACUUUGGGAGGCCGAGACGGGCAGAUCACGAGGCCAGGAGUUCGAGACCAUCUUGGCUAACAUGGUGAAACCCUAUCUCUACUAAAAAUACAAAAAAAAUUAGCUGGGUGUGGUGGCACGUGCCUGUAAUCUCAGCAACUCAGGAGGCUGAGGCAGGAGAAUGGCUUCAACCUCGGAGGCGGAGGUUGCAGUGAGCCAAGAUCGCACCACUGCACCCCAGCGUGGGCAACAGAGCAAGACGCUGUCUCAAAAAAAAAAAAAAAAAAAAAAAAAAAAAGUCGGCUUCUCAAGCAGGUGGAAUCAGCGCUUGAUGAGACUCUGUAAUGACUGCAUAAUGAAGGCCCUCCCGGUCCUCCCCCAGCCGGUGCUCCUGUGAAACGGAGCCUGGGAAGCUCCCUUACUGGAGAAGUCUUUCGGCCGGAGAAUCGAUUCCUGCAGCCCCUUGUUUCAAUUCCGUGAGGCUUGAAGGGAGGGGCCGGCGGGCACCUGCAGACAAAUGCAUCCCAGGUGUAAGGAGGGUGCCCGUGGUCGCCCACGUGGCCAGCACAGGGCCGAGGGGGAUGAGGGCAGGGGCUGCCGCCUGCACUCAGCUCCAGGCCUGCCUCAGGGGAGCUGCAAAGCUACUCAUUCUCAUCAGCUUCAAGCUGACAUCCUUUUUGUCUUCAGUCCAGUAUUAGCUUAAAGGGAAAAGCGUUCUUGUUUGAAAUGUUAACUGGGUGCAUUCUGCUCGUUUUAAUUGUUUCAUUUGCCUAUUACGGCAGCCACAGCAGACGUGUUCCGAUUAGCAAAGAGGAAAAUCUAUCCACUGGAUCAAACUUGUAAAUGUGCAUCUCUCGGGGACUCUGUCCACAUCAGGCCUGUCCCUGGGGUCAUGGGGUGUGGGGAGGGGAGGCGAGGGGCCAGUGCUGGCCAGGUGGGACGAAGGCCACUGGGUCCGUUCCAGUCAUUGACUGCUCUCUUCUCUCCUCGUCCCUCUCACUCAGGCCAGGUCCUGACCCCCUUCCUGCUAAGGGCGGGUGGGCUUGGCAGCCUCUGCUGGGCACAGGGUGGUGGCCACAUCUGCUGCCUAAAAGGGCUGCCCCGGAGCAUCCCUGGGGGUGCUGUAUCUGCACCUCCAGCACUGCAGGCCCCUCACAGUGUCCCAGCCCUGUUGCCGGGUGGCUGCUCCCCUGCCCUUGGGGCUAGGGCAUCCAGGUCCUUUGGGGGCUCUGCUGGCGGUGCCCAGACCUGUGGGAGCUGAGCCCCUCCUGAUCCAGCCUCCCUGCUGGGUGCCCUCCCCUGGGCCUGCAGGGCGGGAGCCCCCGGGGCUGCUUCUCCUGGGGCCUGGGCCGUUACAGGGUGAACACGAAGCGAGGGCGCACUAAACACGCUCCGUAACUACCUGGGCUUGACUCGGUCUGUCCUCCACACCGCCCUCACCCAGGCCUAACCUGUGUGUGGCACGGCGGGAGGGGCCCCCUGCUGUCUGGGUGGUUGGUGGGCCACUGCACCUGCUCCAUCCCACCCGUGGCCUGCACAGCCUGUCCCCACCCUGCAUCACUGAGGAGCCUCCUGGGGUUCUGCCGUGGUCCAUGCUGCAGACCUGCCUGGGACAGCCCCUGCCAGGCCCCCCAGGCUAUCCCUGCUGGGCACUCACUCUGGCCAACCACCAUGGCCUGCAGCCUCCCCUGCUUCUCACACUGCCUGGCGUGGGACCCUGUCUCAGAGAGGAGCUCCCCGCUGCGUCCCUCUCUGCAUCGGGACGUGCACACUCUGCACUCCCUCUCCAGAAUAUUUCUCCUUCUCCAGUGACAGCCCGCCAAGCUUGCUCUCAGCUCUUUGAGGAUCAGCUUAGAGAUGGCUUCUUCCAGGAAGUCCUCCCUGAUGCUCCAAAGUGGCUGGUUCCUUCUUUCAUGCCCAAACUGCCCCUCACAGCUGCUCACUCCAACAAAGGCACUGGCCUCUGUGAUGAACCAGGAGACUGAGAGAGCUGGGGAGAUGCUCCAGGGCCUGUCCUGGACUGUCUUGAUUCCCUGGGGCCUGGCACAUGGCCCGGGGCCUGGAACUCAGACAAGAGCUCCACAGGAGCUGAUGGCAGAAUGAAUGAAUGAAUGAAUGAGGUGCAGGCUCGGGGUCCUUGGAGCCUCCCAGAUUUCCAGGCAAGGCCUGCCGGGCCCUCAGAGGAUCACAGCACCCUCACGCUCUGGGACAGGUCCAAGCGCAGCCCGCGUGGCCCCUACAAGCCUGCUGUCAUUGGCUAAGGUGAGUUUACCUGAAGGCUCAGGGACCCUGGGGGAUGGGCUGAGGGGAGCGGCAGUGUUGCUGGGGACACAGAUCCUUGGUGCUGGGUAGACAAGGUUGCCCACCAGGGACCCUCAGGCCCACAGAAACACACUCAGGACACAUACGUGACACCCCAACAUGCACACACGCUGACACACAUGUGCACACACAUGCACGGAGAGACACAACGACACCACACAGGCACAUGCAGACACAUGUGUGCACACAUAUGCAGAUACACAGACACCCCAACACAUGCACAUAUAGACACACCCCAACACACUGACACACGUGUGCACACACAUGCACACAGACACAACACCUCAGCAUAUACACACACGCACACACAUACACAGAUACAUAGAUACCCCAACACAUGCACACAUAGACACAGACACCCCAACACAGACUGACACACACAUGCAAACAUGCAUCCCAACACACACACUGGCACAUGUGCACACAUCACACCGAUGCACAUGGACCCCCACACUCACACACACUGACACGCAUGUGCUCACACAUGCACAUAUACAUACACACUUAGCUGCCUCAGACACACACACCCAGGACCCUCAGGCAUGUGCCCCACAAUGACCUACAAACACACAAGCUCUCAAGGGUACCCCCACAUACACACCACCUCAUGGACACACAACCCACGAACACGCGCCACACCUUCCUGCUCUCCCUCACACACACAGACACACACCUCCCACCUGGGUGUCCUCCGCCUGCACUUGCCUGGCAGCCUGCUGUGGUUUCCCUGGAAACACUGUCACCAUGGUGGCUUUGCAGAGCCUGGGGUGCAGCUCCAGCGCAAAGCCCAACCUGGGGCACAGGCAGCCAGUGGGCAUGGACUGGAUUCAGAAGAGACGCCCAGUGGAGGGCUCAGGUGGGAGGGGGACAGGCCCUGAGAGGCACAGUGGGGGCAGGGCAGCUCACUCCCGCCAGAGUCCCUGCAGCUGGGCUGUGCCACCCCUGCCAGGUCCUGAGAUGGGAGGAAGUGCAGCCCACCCUGCCCCUGCCUGCCCAGGUCAGCAGUGCCCACGGGCAGAAUCCCUUCCUGAGCCCCCUGCUCUCCUGGAGACAGCAUGGGCCACAGGAGGAAGGAAGGAGCUGGGGAGAAGGUGGGGCCUGCAGCCUGGCUUGCCAGGGAGGAGGGGUGGAUGGGGACCAAGAGCCAGGAAUCCCGGCACAGCCGGGAGGAGCCGAUGAGCCAGGGCAAGGGGUCAACACUGGAGCCUGAUCUCCCAGGAAGGGUGCUGUUCUGGGCCCCGGCUGGGCCAGAUGAGGCACCACGUUCCCAGGCCCUGUGUUGGCAGCAGGCCUACCUCUGCCCUCCCAGGCACUCUGGGGUGUGGUCCCAGGGCCUCCCCACUUGAAUGGAGGCCAGCCAGGUCCGGCAGGUGGGAGCACCCAGGCAUGCGCUGGGUGUGCAGAGGGAGGGCCCAUGCUGCCCCACGGUUACCAAGCUGCAGGGACAGAGCACGGGGGCUGCCUCUGUGGCUCUUGGUGGGGCACGGGGCUGUGCUGGGAGGCCCAGACAUCAGGGAGGGAGGAUGGGCUUGGAAUGGGGACUAUAAAAGGUCACGGUGGGGAGGGCCGCUGACCCCUGUCCUUCUCACGGGGGGUCUCCAGCACACCCUGCUGCCACUGGCCCCUCGGCCUGGAGCCAGGCUCCAUUGUGGAGUGGGUAGUGGCCACUGUGGAAGGGUUGGGGACACUUAGAGGCUGAGCUGCUGGAUGCAGGUUGACAUUUGAAGCCUGGCCUGAUGGAGCUGGGCUUUCCCUGGAGCGCUGGACAGGCCACCCAGCCUUCUGGCUCUGCUUCCCUCCUGCAUCUCAUGCUGGGAUUGAUGGGUGGUCAGGGUGCCUGCUCUGAGCUAAGGCCUGACUGGCCCCAAAUUCUGGGACCCAUGCAGAGGGAAGGGGACAUCUGUGGUCCUUGGAGGAAGGAGUCAAAACAAUUGGGGCAGAAAAUGGGAUGAGUGGGCAAGGGCGGGAGAGCACAGCUGAGAAUGCCCGGGGAUGAGGAGUGAGCAGGGACACUGCGCAGCUGCUCUGGCCUGGACUGAAGCCCACCAGGGUACACCCUGAGGCCUGGUAGAGUGCCAGGGCCACACUGCUGAGGCUCCCUGUCCUCGAAGUCCGCUUGGAGCCCUCCUACCUCUCCAAAGGCGGCAUUCUCCCCUCCACCGAGCCCGUGUGUUCAUCCACACAGUCCCCAUUUCUCAAGGCAGGGGGCUUGCAAGACAGGAGCCAGGCCAGGUCCCGGCCACAUCUGGUCCACAUGGCUUGUUUGUGGUGUGGUGCCCGCAGCCGUUCCUCCAGAAACAUGCCUCAGCAGCCCAGCACCUUCCAGAGAGCCUUGCACACAGGCAUGCAUGAGGAAGCUGUGAGGAGUGUGAUGACAACAGCAAUAAUGACAAAGGUGAUGACAGUGGUGUGAGGUGAUAAUGAAGACGGUGGUGGUGAAGAUGAGAUGAAGAUGAUGGUGGUGAUGGUGAUGGUGACAGUGAUGACAGUGAUGGUGGUGUAAUGGUGAUGAGGUGAUGAAGGUGGAGUGAUGGUGAUGAGAUGAAGAUGAUGGGGAUAAUGGUGGUGAUGACAGUGAUAGUGAUGGUGUGAUGAUGGUGACAGUGACUGUGAUGGUGAUGAUGAUAGUGAUGACAGUGAUAGUGAUGGUGAUGAUGAUGGUGAUUGUGAUGGUGAUGGUGACAGUCACUGUGAUGGUGACAGUCACAUAGUGAUUGUGAUCUGAUGAUGAAUGUGAUGACGAUGACAUUUAUAGUGAUGGUGUGAUGAUGAUGAUGAUGGUGAUGGUCACGGUGAUAGUGAUGGUGAUGAUAGUGAUGACAGUGAUAGUGAUGGUGAUGAUGAUUGUGAUGGUGACAGUGAUAGUGAUGGUGAUGAUGAUGAUGGUGAUUGUGAUGACAGUGAGAGUGAUGGUGGUGAUGAUGGUGAUUGUGAUGUGAUGAUGAAUGUGAUGGUGAUGGUGAUGAUUGUGAUGGUGACAGUGAUGGUGAUUGUGAUCUGAUGAUGAAUGUGAUGAUGAUGACGACAGUGAUAGUGAUGGUGAUGAUGAUGGUGAUUGUGAUGUGAUGAUGAAUGUGAUGAUGAUGAUGGUGACAGUGAUGGUGAUCAUAGUGAUUGUGAUAUGAUGAUGAAUGUGAUGACGAUGACAUUUUAGUGAUGGUGUGAUGAUGAUGAUGGUGAUGGUGACAGUGAUAGUGAUGGUGAUGAUAAUGAUGACAGUGAUAGUGAUGAUGAUGAUGGUGGUGAUUGUGAUGACAGUGACAGUGAUGGUGUGAUGAUGAUGGUGAUGAUGGUGAUGGUCACAGUGAUAGUGAUGGUGAUGAUGAUAGUGAUGACAGUGAUAGUGGUGAUGAUGAUGGUGAUUGUGAUGACAGUGAUAGUGAUGGUGUGAUGAUGGUGAUAGUGAUGAUGAUGAUGAUGGGGAUCGUGGCACACCUGAGCUAACCUUUUGGGCCAGCAGCGCCCCCUGCCACUUGCUGGACACCCCAGGCGCCGGCAUGCUGGUUGCUCCCCUGCUGUCUCCCAGCUCUCAGGCAGUAACUCUCUCAGUCAUGUGAAGACAUUGAAAUGCAGCCGUCGUGCCUGGCAUGCGGUUGGGCAUUAAUUACAUCUCCUUUUGCAAAGCCUAAUCAACUUCUCCUAAUUAACCUGUUUCCUGUCAAUGUGAAAUAAUUGAAUUCACUCGGAAUUGGCUGUGCACAUAGAGCCAUCAGAAGCCUACGUGGCUAUUUGUAAUGGUGGAGAUUUUGCAAACAACAUACCUUGUUUUGAAAACACAUUUUCAAUCCCUGUGGGCAUAUGUCCCUCUGAUGCACAAGCUUUCCGUGCUUUCCUAGAGCAGGGAUGCUUCAUUCAUGGGGUCUGUGAACUUGGACGAGAAAAAGCAACAUCUCUAUUUUACUAAGCUCUGACUGAAAUCUGGCAUUUCCUUCCACGAGGAACGCCAGCCAUCCCAGGGCUUUAUCUCAAAUAGAAAACACAGGUGUGUUUGUAUCACUUUGCAGUUGUUGCAGGUUUUUCAAACUUGUCCACACUCACCUCCACCUCUAAAACUCAGGGGCUGCUGGACGCUGGGUUUUGUUAUCCAGUGCGACGUGUAAUGCAGCCACUGCCACCCUCACACAUCUGCUUUGUUGAUAUUUUGACAUCUGCUUCACUAUGGCUGUUUUCCUUGGUGGCCGUAUGUGUUUUUGUCCAAGUAAAUCAUGAAUGGUAGAGCGCAGGGAUUUCUAGGGCAGUGAAAUGAUUCCAUACGAUACUGUGAUGGUGGACACACGGCAUCGUGCAUUUGUCAAAACUGAUGGAACAGCAGCAGUGGUCCCCAACCUUUUUGGCACCAGGGACCAGGGACCAGUUUUAUGAAAGACAUUUUUCUUAUAGACCAGAGGCUGGGGGGGGCGAUGAUUGGGGAUGAAACUGGCCCACCUCAGGUCAUCAGGCAUUAGAUUCUCGUGAGGAGCUCGGAGCCUAGCUCCCUGGCAUGGGCAGUUCACAAUAGGAUUCAUGCUCGUAUGAGAAGCUAAUGCUGCCGCUGAUGUGACGGGAGGUGAUGCUCAGGUGGUAAUGCUUUGCCUGCCCACCUCUCACCUCCUGCUGUGUGGCCUGGUUCCUAACAGGCCCUGGACUGGCACCAGUGCCGAUGCAAAUGACGGGCAUAAGGGCACUGUGGGUGGGGGCUCAGGGAAUGCCCUGUGCUACCUGCUCCCUGCUCUGUAAACCAAAAACUGCUCUACAAAAUAAAGUCUAUUCACUUAAAAAAAAAACUCUUAAUUAUGAAAAAAAUUAUCCCCAUGCUGUCAAAACGCCCCCUCCCCACAGGAGCAGAUGCUCUAGGGACAGCUGGCCCAGGCUCAGGCCAGCUGAGCCCCUUGCCAGCAGGCGUGCAGCCCACGCCUGCCGGAACAGGGGAACAGCAUUGGCCUCUGUGUCCUGGAACAGGGUGGGAUGCCUGGGGCAGCACAGCCCCCAGAUCUAUGGCCAGGUACAGCCACCGGCAGUGAACACCUCCGGAGGUGGCCUGCAAGGAAGGAACGGUCACGUCGUUGAAAGUGCAAUUCAGCAUCCACACGGCACACGCACGCGCACACGUGGGUACACAGCAUCCACACGGCACACACACGCGCACGCGUGGGUACACAGCAUCCACACGGCACAAGCACGCGCACGCGUGGGUACACAGCAUCCACACGGCACACACAUGAGCACUCAUGGGCACACAGCAUCCAUAUGGCACAUGCACACACACACGGGUACACAGCAUCCACAUGGCACACGCAAGGCACACAUGGGCACACAGCAUCCACACGGCACACGCACGGGCACACAGCAUCCACACGGCACACACACGGGCACACGGCAUCCACACGGCACACGCACGUGGACACACGGGCACACGGCAUCCACAUGGCACACGCACGGGCAUGCGGCAUCCACACGGCACAUGCAAGGCACAUGGCAUCCACAUGGCACACGCACGCGCACACGGCACCCACACGGCACACGCACGGCACACGCACGCGCACGCAGGGGCACACGGCACCCACACGGCACACGCACGCGCAGGCACGGGCACACGGCAUCCACACGGCACACGCACGCACACGCAUGGGCACCCAGUCGCACAUGCGUGUCAGUAUCAGCAAGCAGCCCCACUGCAGGACAGGCCCAGUAUGCUCCUUUCCCAGUUUUGAGGAGCUGAAAUUCUUCCUUAAUCUAAAUGUUUUCCGUUCGGAACGCACACGUGUUGUGUUUUUUCCACAGUCAUUAGAUUCAGAGUAAUUAAACCAAAACGCUCAUUUCUGGAAAGAGACAAAGUAUUUUGAGUUUCUACAUCAAUAUUUAACAUCUGCCUAACAUUUUAUAUGCUGCCCUGGUGGGUAAAACGAUUUCUACUCUCCAUAAAGAUGGACUCUGCCACAAAUCCCUCAAGAAAGAAAGAUAUUUUCUUGUGAAGAGUCAGCCAUAGUGUCUGCCUUACGUAGAGCUUGACAGUUUUUUUUCUUAUUUUAAAAUCUCAGAGCCAAAUUCAGUUCGACAAUCAAGCUAAAUGAUUAGUCGGCUUUAGAGCUGAUGUGUGUGAAGUUGGAAUUUAGCACAUUAAAUAUUUCAGGGAGAAAGUGCGCAACGUGAGACAGAAAGGCAGAGGCUUCCUCUAGAACUCAGCCUGGAGUGGUUGCAGGAAAAUGCGCCAAUUAGCAGGGGCUUCGUUCUCGCCAAUGUGACAGCUCAGAACAUUUGCAAUCCAUUUUGGAGGAUGAGAAAGGAAUACUGUGCUCCCCUUCGUGCAAAAACCAAGCCAUGCAGAACAAAAUUACAGGCCAGGAGGACAUGCCAGGGCCUGUAUGGACAGUGCUGGAUGGUGCAGAACCCACGUGCUGGGUCCCUGUGUGCUCAUGCCCAUCCAGAGAUGCCCUGGGGACACAAACAGGCCCUCAAAUGCAGAGGGCCUGUCCAGGGAGCAGGUGAGAGGGAAACGCAAAGACAAGUGGUGCCUCCAGGGUGGCCCAGCUCAAGCCUGCCAGAGCACACCUGCCUCGGCACCGGGGCUUCCGGGACCCCACCACUGAAUGCCAGGCCACCCCAGGCAGGGGACAGGCUGCGAGAAUGGGCCUCAAGCCCUUGCUGAUCUCCUCGCCAGCCACAGUGGGACAAGCUCUGAUGGGGCAGCAGGGCCCUACUCACCCCAUGGGCAGCCACUGGUUAGAGAUACCCCGGCCGCCUGGGUGCCCAAGCCGAGCCUCCCCUGGGGGCCGUGUGCGUCCCAUUUGGAGUCCCCACCAUGCCCACUGUCCUCUCCACAGCUGCUCUGGUGGGUGGGGUGCUGGCCUACCAGGGUGCAGCAGGGACACCAGGAAGCUCAGCACCUCACUCAGCACCUGCUCUUCAGGCUGAAGCUGGCAGCGGGACCACCUCCACUUGCCUAGGACUGCAGAGCACAACCUGGCACCCUCCUGAAGAUGACGCACAUGAUCAUGACCCACAGGACCCAGCGGCUCCACCCCCAGGGGUGAGCCUGAAAGAAGCAAAAACACACAGCCACACACACACACACAGCCACACACACAGCCACACACACACACACAGCCACACACACACAGCCACACACACAGCCACACACACACACAGCCACACAGAGACUGCAGGAAAGCUCACAGCAGCUUUGUGCACAGCAGCCAAAAGGCAGAGACAGCUCACAUGUCCACAGACUGACAGAUGGACAAACACCAUAUGUUCACCCACAUGGGGAGCAUCAUUCAGCAUAGAAAGGAAUGGGGCACAGGCACGCGCCAACACGGGGGCAUCGUGAAAGCACUGUGCUCGGCGAAGGAAGCCACACACGACCGCCUGCCAGAACACAUGCUACACACAACGGUGUGUCACACACAACCACACAUCACACGGAACACGUUACAUGCAAUGGUGUAUCACACACAACCACGUCACACGGACCACAUGGAAUGCAUGUUACAAUCAUAAAUCACACAAACCACAUGUCACAUGGAACAUGUGUUACACACCGUAUCUUACACAUAACUGCACGUCAUACAGAAUGUGUGUUACACACAACUGUAUCUCACACACAACCGCACAUCAUACAGAACGCAUGUUACACACAAUCAUAUCUCCCACACAACCGCAUGUCACAUGGAUGAAAUGGAACGCAUGUUACACACAAUCAUAAAUCACACACAACCACAUGUCACACAGAACGCAGAACAGGGAAGUCCCCAGAGACGGAAGCAGAUGAGGGACUGCUUAGGCCUGGGGAGGAGGGUGAUGGCUAAAAGCUGUGGGGUUUCUUUCUGAGGUGAAGCGAAUGUUCUAAAAGGGCCCGUGGGGAUGUUGCCCAUCUAUAAACACGCUGAAAGCCAUGGACGUGUCCACUGGAAGGGGAGGGAUCAUAUGAUAUGUGAGCUACGUCUCAAAGAAAGCUGUUUUUUCAAAAAGACUUGUUUCCCGUCUCCCCCGAGGGCUUCCUGGACUCCUGUUGCUUGUCUCUGUCACGAAUCCUCACCCCAAAAUCAUAGGAUGAACACCCCAAAGAAAUCAUGAGAACUCUUCUCUUUGUAGCAAACCACCAAAGGAGAAAUUCAUGCUUGAAACUGUAUCCAAACGGAUCAGGGGCCCAAGGGCUGGAUGAUCUUCACCGCAGCUGGUCUCUGAAAACAUGCCUUGUGACCUGCAGUGAGGAGUCCGCAUCUGUCUGUGCCACCUGCUGAGACUGUCCUCUCUCGGGCUCCCAUGGGGGCUGCGGGCUGGAGCGGGGCCAGGAGGGAGGGGGAUGGACGGCUGGGAGGAGGACAGACACCCACACCUCGGUGACAGGUGACAGGCGUUGGCUUGGGCAGAGCCUCGGUGACCUGCCUAGGUUUUCUUCCCCAAAGCAGAUCCCAGCUGCGUCUGCACCCAGCAGGCCCCAGAGCCUUCUCCUCCGUGGGGGGGUGGGGGUAAGUCCCCUCCUGCUGGGCUGCCAGGCCUCAGGCAGCCUCGACGCAGCUCUGCACCCAGCUCCCGGCUCCCACAGAGAGCCCUGCAGCUACAGCCGGGGCGGCAGCUUCCAGUGGGCUUCCUGGACCCCUGUCUCCCAGCCACGCCGACCGCAGCCACUAUGUGGCUCCUUACAGUCCUCCCCCGGGACCCCUCAGCCCCCACUGGCCUCCGUCUCCCCAUCCUGGUGCCCCUCUGCUCUCUGUGGGUCUCCAUGGGUCACCCCACUGCCCCGUUCAUCUCUCCGUCCUGGCGCCCUCUGCCCUCCGAGGGUCACCCCCGCCGCCCUCUCAUCUCUCAGGUCUUGUCCCUGCCUGGCAGCGGGUUGAGCACUGGGCCCACUCCUGGGCCUCCCAGCUCCCUUGGGACCAUCUCUCUCACCUCUCCAGCCCCUCCAGCUGUGGACACUGACCCCUGCCUGGCUAUGGGGCUCUAGGGCAAGCCCCUCCGGCUCCAGGCCUUCAGCCCCCUCCCCCCAGCCACACCCAGGAAGGAAGGAAGCCCCCACUGCUCUGCCCCUUGGAGGGUCAGCGACGCCUGCCCGCACAGGGAAGCUCUCC
rnacentral:lncRNA from 1 species